GUUAGAUGUCGCUGUAGAUUUAGCAGUACAUUACUGUAAAAAUCCACAGUACUAUACUGUAUGUAUACAUUACAGUACAGUACUGCAGUUCAUAAUGCAUUCUGGGUAAAUUUGUUUGAGCGGGAAAAUUUUACAGUAUAUUUUGGUCUUGAUGUAACCUUGCUGUAGCCAUUGCUGUAAUGUGCCAGGUGUACUUGCAAUAAUCAGAGAAAGUGCGCCAGAGUCAAAUCACACAGACAGAGCACAACUCCUGGCUGCAGCUGAAGGAGGACGAUUGAUUUCUGGCAGUUCGGUAAGUUUGAAAUAUUUCUGUUUCAUGAAAACUUAAUUUUUAGUUUAAGAAUGUUGUCAAUAGUUUGUCACAAUAUUGUUUUAAACGUGCAAUGAGAGAAAAAAACGGUCGCCAACAAAGUUUCAAUCUCCCUCAGAAAGUAAGCUAACGUUACACACAGAUGUCUACCGCUGCUUUAACUCGCUUUACACCUUUUUUUUAAUGAAUAUAGGGUUGUUUUAACUAAAUUAUAAGGGUUUUGGUGAGUUUAUAUUGUGUUGAAAGUGUGGUGACAAUGAAACUAUUUUUAACGAAAUGGACAAAGACAACCCGCCAGCGCGGUCUUGCGGUCCCAGCAUAACGGUCGUUUAUCUCGGCGUUUCAUCCGUUCAGUUAGCGUCAGAGAAAAGUAUUAAGUUCGACUGUUUGGUAAGGCUGUGGUUGUAAACAGACAGGACUUGACACGCCGUACACAGCAUACCGAACUCCUCCACAGAAGUGAAAACAAGAAACCUCAUAUUUAACUGGAUACAUGCAUCGAACUCAUCGCAGCUUUAACUUCGACCAAAUAUCAUUCAGACCUGGGCUCAUCUUAAUAUCAGAUGAACGAAAGGGAUUGCCGCGCGUAUUGUUGUUCUUAUUAUAUUACGUCUUACCAUUGCUUGUAAGCUGGAUUGGGUAAGAUGGAUCAUCUUUAAAGGCACCAGGAGUUAAGGCAGAUGUGGAGGCACAACGGGUGAUACCAGACACACACCAAGCACAUUAUGUUCGGACAUUCAAUCAUGACAGGAUCCAGGUGGAUGCUGUCCAUUGAUGAAAGAGUUUGUUCAGCGGUUUCUGGAUAGAAUUAAUUCCAAAGAUGGGAAAAAGUGCACAUCCAGACAAGGAGCAAGCAAAAAGACAAGGAACUUGGUGCAGAGAAAAGCUGUGGUCAUUAACCCCCAUGUGAACAGCUUCAUGCAGUCCCUGAUUGAGUUCGAAUGGACGACUUCAAAGUAAAGGCCACUGUGGUCUGUCUGCCACAGUUUAAUGCAUUUAUUUUUAGUGUUAAAUGAAAUUUAAGUAGAAUAUUUAAAACUAUGGGCCAGUGUUCUUUUUACCACAGUGAAAUGUUACCUUUUAGUCGAUGAUGGACUUUAAACUGAAAACUUCAAACUAUGGACCAGUGUUCUAUUUGCCAGAGUUAAAUAUGUUACAGCAGGGGUCUCCAAACUUGUUUAUACUUGUUGAUUUUAUUUUAUGUUACUUGAUUAUAUGUUUAUUAUUGUUUAAAAUCUUGUUUUAAAUAUGUUUGUUUCAAUUAAAUGUUUUUUUUAAAUAAAAUUUUGAUACAUACAUUGCUUUGAUUGCCUUUUAAUUCAUUAUGUUUUAAUUUAGCAUUUUUACCAUAUUAAUAACUAUAGAUUUAAACCUAAAUCUCUAGCUAUUUUAUAUAAUAUUAUUGUAUUAACUGUAAUAAGUAAUAAAUAGUAUUUAUGGGUCAAUAUAGACAUUACAGUAAAUUACUGUAAAAAUAGACUACUGUAAUAAAAUAUUGUAAAAUUACAGUACAGUACUGCUUUGUAACUAUACAGUACUAGUUUGUGUACUGUAAAAGGGUAUUACAGUACAGUACUGUAAAACCAAAAUACAGUAACUUACUGGCAACCGUGCUGCCAGUACCGUACUGU